rnacentral:rRNA from 1 species
GACGAACGCUGGCGGCGUGCUUAACACAUGCAAGUCGAACUGAAAUGCCCUUCUUUUGUGGGGUGCUCGAGUGGCGAAUGGGUGAGUAACACGUGAGUAACCUGCCCUUUACUUUGGGAUAACUUCAUGCAACUUGUUCUAAUACCGGAUCGUAGCUCCUUCUUCAUGGUUGGGGUUGGAAAGUUUCGGCGGUUGGGGCUGGACUCGCGGCUUAUCAGCUUGUUGGUGGGGUAGUGGCUUACCAAGGCUUUGACGGGUAGCCGGCCUGCGAGGGUGACCGGGCAAAUAGGGAAUGGGAUAAGGCCCAGAAUCCUAAGGGAAGCAGGAGGGGGGAAAAAUGGAAAAAGGGAGGAAGACUGAGGCAGCAAAGCUGCGUGCGGGAUGAGGGCCUUCGGGGUGUAAACCGCUUUCGCAUGUGACGAAAAGAGAGUGACGGUAAUGGGUAAAGAAGCAACGGCUAAAUACGUG